UUUUCUUGCAACUUGACUUUAAUCAGAUCCAUCAUACAAUUUCGACAAAAUUGUAUACGCUGCUUAUUCGAUGCAUUUUUGCACAAAAUGAACAAAAAAGUAUGGCAGAUAAAAGUUCUACUCCAUCUUGCGAAGCAAUAAAUUUAUCGUUAAAGUUAAACUUUAACGAUAAAUAGUGAAACUAACAGAUAUGUAUAUUAUCAAACCUAUUAUUGACAAAAUACAUAGCGAUAUGUUUCCUGUUUUGAUCCGCACAACUACAUAUUUUUAUAUUUAAAUAAUGUAUUUCUUAAGUAAAUUUAAAGAUAAUUUAUUAUUUGGGCUGCUAGUUUUACAUACAUUUCUAGUUACAAAAGUCACCUAGCAUAUGUGUAAAUCAUGCAAUAUAUAAAGGCAGUUAUAAACUUAUAAAUAUAAUUUAUAAAGACGUAUCAUAUUAAAACUAAUUUUAUAUUACAGGAUUCAGCCAAUUAUUCUUACAUCAGUCGGACAACUGUUCUUCUUAAAAUUUAAAAGAACGUAAAGAAUAACUGAAGUUUAUAAAAGCUGAAGAAAUUUUCACAAGGAUUAGAACAGAAAACUGAACUCAAAUGGAAGCGCUUGCACUCUCAUGUCACUAUCAUGUCCUGACAAUUUCGGAUUUUAUAAAACUAUAGGAGAUAUUGUGAUUGACGUUGAGAUUGUGAUUGACAUCUGGAGCAGAGCUAUAAUUUUGUUUAACAUUACGUGAAGUUUAUU